rnacentral:lncRNA from 1 species
GACGACAUUACACAGAGAGAAACAAUAAUUGAUUAAUAAUUAUAAAAAAAAAAGAUGUUAUAGUUGUAUACAUGAAAAGCAAUAAAAUCCAAAAAAAAACCUUUAUCAAUCUACUCCUUUAUUCCUACCCACCGCUGUUCUCCUCAGGCGGUGAUUCCUUGUGUCGUUUUUCUUCUUCUUCUACUACUACUAUCUAGACAGUACAGUAGCAGCACUCUCUGUUUCUGUUUCUGCUUAUUUGAAAUAUAAAUUGAAAUUAAAACAUAAAACUAACCGAAAGAGGAGAUGAGAUGAAAAGAGGUGGCGAAAACGUGUUUUUACCUCGCCGACUCCGUCAUCCGCUAGUUCUACACCUGGCAACUUCCGCCGCGUGAUAACAGAGAGCGGCGACGAAACCGAUGCGGUGAGAAUAGGACAAAACGGAGAAGGAUUUGGGCGGGUCUUAGUAACAAAGUCGUCGCCCUCGCGGUCCCUUUCUCUCUCUCUCUACCUAUUUUCUCAGUUUAAAAAUUUGAAAUCCAUCGUCACUCUCUUAUUCUAUUCGGUAGUGGAAUUGUGAUUUAUUUUUUUAUGUACUUUAGUAUUUUUU